rnacentral:rRNA from 1 species
CCUACGGGUGGCUGCAGUGGGGAAUAUUGGACAAUGGGCGAAAGCCUGAUCCAGCCAUGCCGCGUGUGUGAAGAAGGCCUUCGGGUUGUAAAGCACUUUCAGUGGGGAAGAAAGCCUUGGGGCUAAUACCCUCGAGGAAGGACAUCACCCACAGAAGAAGCACCGGCUAACUCCGUGCCAGCAGCCGCGGUAAUACGGAGGGUGCGAGCGUUAAUCGGAAUUACUGGGCGUAAAGCGCGCGUAGGCGGCCUGAUAAGCCGGUUGUGAAAGCCCCGGGCUCAACCUGGGAACGGCAUCCGGAACUGUCAGGCUAGAGUGCAGGAGAGGAAGGUAGAAUUCCCGGUGUAGCGGUGAAAUGCGUAGAGAUCGGGAGGAAUACCAGUGGCGAAGGCGGCCUUCUGGACUGACACUGACGCUGAGGUGCGAAAGCGUGGGUAGCAAACAGGAUUAGAUACCCCGGUAGUC